GGGUAAUUAACUCAGUGGCAGAGUGUUUCGUUUACACAGAAAAGGCCAAAGGUUCGAUCGUUUUAUCACCUA
rnacentral:tRNA from 1 species